GGGCUCGACCGGAAUAGACAGGAUGGAUGAUAAGUGGGUAAGCAUGCAGCGCAAUGAGGGUUCAGAGCUCUAAUAUUGAUUCUCAAAACACAAAAGGCGAAAAUAACUACGCUCUUGCUGCUUAAUCUUAACCUAGUUAAGAUGGCUUAGUCAUACUUUAGAAGUAUGAGCGAGAUGUUUCCCGGAAGCCAAGUCUGGCGGCAGCCGAUCAGGAAGCACAGAAAUGCUAGAAUAAGGAGAGGUAAGUUUUGGACCUUUCUCGAAAACUAAAGAAACUAAGGAGUAAUCAGGCUGUUUGUGGCCAAACUGCUCUCGAAAACCAACCAUAAAAUAAGCAUGUAGAAAGCGCAACUGGUCCCAUGUUUGGACGAGGGUUCGAAUCCCUCCGGGUCCACAU
rnacentral:tmRNA from 1 species